UCGUUUCAUAAGUUUUACCAAAAGGUUGAUGGAGAGAGAAAAUAGAGAGAUAGAGAGCAGAGAAAGAAAGAAGAAGGAGAUUCAAGAGGAGCAAAGCUUAGGAAGAAAAAUAGAAGAGCAAAUUGAAGCCCUAGUUUAAGAUUUUCGGAGAUUGAGGUAAGGGGGAUUGGUUUGUUUUCAUAAUAAGCUAUAAUCACUUUUAUGACAUUUGGGUCAUGUUUGUUUUGAUGAAUUUUGUGAAUUUGAUGUUUUGCUAAAUUAAUUUUCGUGCUCUUUUUCAUGUGAUAAUUUUGGGUAUGUGAAAAGUGUUGAAAAAUUGUUGUUGAUGCAUGACAUUCAUUGUUGAUAUAUGCUAACUUGUUUACUUUGAGAAUUUAACUUAAAUUGGUGAAACUCGUGAUGAUGUUGAUGAUUAUUGUUGAUUUUAUGACCUAUGUGCUCUAAAUGUUAUUGGGUAUGUGUUUCAUUGUUGUGUUUUGUGAGAUUUUGUGAAAAUGGGUAAAAAGAGGUGCAUUAUGAUUUUGAUGAUUUUGUGAGGAUUAAUGAAGUUGUUGUUGUGAGAUAGAUUGAUUAGAAAUUCUUAUUUGGAUCAAAGGGUUUCAUUGAGGAAUGCUGGGAGAAAAACGGGUUAUUAAGCUAAAAAGGAAAAAUGUAAAAAUAUUGAAAUGAUUAAUUUGUCCUUAUAAGAAAAUGAUUUUUCAUGAUUUGAAUAAGUGAUAAAAAUAUCUUAAAUUUUUUGUCAAAAAAAAAAGAAGAAAGAAGAUCUUAAAUGUCUACUUCUUUUUUUCAUCAUCUUCAUCAUCAACAUCAUACUUUCAUCAUAAAAUUCAAACAUAUACCUGUAAAAAAAUGGAGAAAAUGAAAUUAAAAACAACCCAGAAUCAUUAACUUCAUUGUCAUCUUUUCAUUCUCAAAUUUUUUUAUUCACCAUCAAGAACGACAACAAUCAACUCCAAAUGAUAAAAAGAGAGAAAAUUUUAAAUCUAAAAUGUGAAAGGAAAAUAAUAUAAUGAAAAGAAAAAAAAACUGAAAAGUUAGAGAGAGAAUGAGAGUAAGAAUAAUGAAUAAAUAAAUUUUAAAAGUAAAAAAGAGAAUAGCAGUAGAAACAUAGAAAAUAAUAAUAAUUUUAAAAGUAUAAAAGAAAAGAGAAAUGAUUAAGAACAAAAAAAAAAUUGGUUAAAAAAGAAUAAAAAGGAAAAAUAUUGAAAUGAUUAAUUUUCCCUUAUAAAAAAUUGAUUUUUAAUUAUUUGAAUAGGUGAAAAGUUUUUCCAGUUUAACCAGACCAUAAGAAAUUAAAAAUGAAACAUAAGGAACAAGAUUCAAACAUAAGAGAGUAACAAGCUGCAUGCAUGGUGCUAAAUUAGCAUAUUAUUGAACCAAAGAAUAAUCAACUUCGUCUUGUUGAUUUUGAUAACACCAAUCUAGCCAAUAAAGUUGUGAUCAUGGGGAAGUCGAAAAAUAUAAACAGAUGCAUUUCCUUAUUUAAUUACUACUCCAUGAAUACACUUCACAUUUUGCAUGUACAUUAUUAAUACAGUACACACAUUUUCUUUUAUAUCGCCACUUGCCUGGAUUGCUCAGCACAUUGCAUUUGUGUUGUGAUAAAAACAAUGCAAGGUCACCCAAAGUUUCUAGCUUGACAUAACUCAUCGUUGAGAAGUCUAUCAUAUAGACAUCCAAUAAUUUAUUUUGUUUAAAGAAAACCACAAGAAGCUUCCCAUCACAACUAAGUAAUUAGGCAAAAAGGAUGGUCCAUUGGGCGAAUUUUUUAGCUCUAGAAAUUUUAAACUUGUAGAAUUUAAAUUAAGUACACCUAUCUCAACCUUGUAAGUGACAACAUAAAUAGUAUUAUGCAAAACAACAAAAUCCAAAACAAUCCACAGAUUUCCGCAUUUGGAUAAGUAACCCAAUUAGAAUAUCGAGACUGAUAAACAUGCAAACUACUUGAGUUUAUGCAAUAAGUGUCUAUGACAAAUUCAUUUCAACCUUUCACAAAAGUAUGUAAUACUCGAGAAUCGUAACGAAACAAAUAAUCUUCAAUAGCUGAGGUGUCAAUGAUAAUUUGUUUUCUUAUAAAUGGAUUCAUUAAUUGUAGUUUAUUGGUACCUUUCAUGUUGAGAUAGCCACUACACGAACUCAAAUAGGAUAAUCCCCAAAAAUAACUCAUCUUAGCGCGGUAAGCUCGUUUUUCAAGUAUGCUAUAAAAAGAACAAUAUUUAUUUACAUAUGAAGUUUUUUGAACAAAUAGUGGUUAUUGUGAUACCAUGAAAAUUCUCCAAUAAAUUUUUUGAACUCUCCUCCACUCUUUACAAACACUAGAAAAUUGAAAUAAAUCAUCAAAAUCUAGUUUUCGGGAUACGGUAUCAAGCAUAUUAUCUGAAAGUUGGCUGAAGUCAACAACACUUUUCUCAUUGAGUGUAACAAUGGUGCCAUCUAUGUUAUGAGAGUAAUGUGGUUUUGCUUCGAAGUUAACAAUUAUAUGAUAGAAAAUAUUUUUACGAUCUAUUUCAAUAUGGUGGUUUGCAAGGAGUGGAGCAGAGUUCAAAAAAAUUAUUGGAGAAUUUUCAUGGUAUCACAAUCACGACUACUUGUUCAAACAACUUCAUAUGCAAAUAAAUUUUGUUCUUUUUAUAGCAUACCUGAAAAACGAGCUUACCGCGCUAAAAUGAGUUAUUUUUUGGGAUUAUCCUAUCUGAGUUCGUGUAGUGGAUAUCUCAUCAUGAAAGGUGCCAAUAAACUACAAUUAAUGAAUCCAUUUAUAAGAAAACAAAUGAUCAUUGACACCUCAGCUAUUGAAGAGUAUUUGUUUCAUUACGGUUCUCGAGUAUUACUUACUUUUGUCAAAGGUUCAAAUGAAUUUUUCAUAGAGGAUUAUUGCAUAAGCUCAAGUAGUUUGCAUGUUUAUCAGUCUCGAUAUUCUAGUUGAGUUACUUAUUCCAAAAGCGGAAAUCCAUGGACUGUUCUGGACUUUGUUGUUUUGCAUAAUACUAUUUAUGUUCUUACUAACAAGGUUGAGAUAGGUGUACUUAGUCUGAACUCUACGAUUUGAAAUUUCUAGAACUGAAAAAUUCGCCUAAUGGACCAUCCUUUUUGCCUAUGGUACUUAGUUGUGAUGGGAAGCUUCUUGUGGUUUUCUUUAAACAGAAUAAAUUAUUGGAUGUCAACAGGAUAGACUUUUCAACGAUGAGUUAUGUCAAGCUAUAAACUUUGUGUGACCUUGCAUUGUUUUUCUCACAACACAAAUGCCAUGCGCUGAAAAAAACCAUGCAAGUGGGGAUAUGAAGAGACUAUGUGUACUAUAUUAAUACUAUACAUACAGAAUGUGUAAGUGUUUUCAUGGAGUAAUAAUUAAAUGAUGAUCCCCGUGAGCUUAGCUCAGUUGGUAGGGAUAUUGCAUAUUAUAUGCAGGAGCUGGGGUUCGAACCCCGGACACUCCACUUCUCCACAAUUAAAUUGUGUGAGCUCUAGCCACUAGGCUACUUGACCAAAAAAAAAAAAUUAAAUGAUGAAAUGCAUUGUUCCUGCUCAUAGUUGUCGACUUCCGCAUAGAUCACAACUUUAUUGGCCGGAAUGGUGUGUUCAAAAUCGAUACGAUGAAGUUGAUUAUUCUCUGGUUCAAUAAUAUGCUAAUUUAGCACCAUGCAUGCAGCUUGUUACUCUCUUAUUUUUGAGAUCUUGUUCUUUCUAUUUCCUUUUUAAUUUAUUAUACUCUGAAUAAACUGGAAAAACUUGUCUUGAACUUUAUAGUUUCAUUAUCUUUUGUCAAAUUAUUUUGGCUUUAGAUGACUUAUAAACUCAAUGAAUUUUUUGUUUAUAUUAUAUUUUCUCUAAAGUUUUAAUGUUUGAAAUGGUCAUAUGAAUUUAUUUCAUAAGAUUCGUUUGAGUGUCUUGUUUUAAUAUUUCAAAGAUGUGUUAAAGUUAUUUGAGAAGAGAUGUAGUUUGGUUUUGGAAAUCCAGUGGUUUACAUAUGGGUCGUCACUGCAAUUUGGACUCGUGGUCAUGUUUGUCGAUUCAAUAGAUUGAUCAUGUGUCGUCACUCCAACCUGUCAUAAUCAUGUCGUUUGCUAUUCAUACACUCUUCAUGUAAUUCAAUUGGUUUGUGAUCCUUUGAAUGUGUUUGUCAACUUGAUCAGAUUGAUUACGAAAUUAUUGAGUGGGUAUUAGUACAUUGAGUUGCUUCAAAACCUUCAAGAAGGCAACUUUGCUGCUGAUUGUUUGGCUAGAUUGGAUGCAGGGGUGACCUUGAGAAUGCGCAAGCUGGGUGGCUGCCCAGUGCCCAAUAUUUUCAAAGGGUGCUGAAAUUAAUAUUUUUACUUAUUAGUUAGUGGUAUAUACAUGUAUUUCUUUUUAACUUGCUUUGAAUAAUUCUAUAAAAUAAAUAUUUAAUGUUAAGUUAUUAAUUAUGUGGAUAAUGAAAUAAUUGAUGUAUUUUAAAAUAUGAGAGUUAAGUCAAAGGAAGAGAACGCCCAAUCACACACGUCCGAUUUAGACAAGCUUUGUACCCCAAGCAAGAGUCUUGGACACCAAGAUUUGGUGCCCAUAUUUUCCACGCAAUGGCAUGUUACAAAGUUUGAGAAUGUCUUUUAACCUUUCAUGAUAUUUCAUGAUAAAGGGUAACCAAACCUGCAAAGCCAAGAAUUGAUGAUCAAAGAAGGAGGGAAUUGAACUGAGUAUCAAAAACGGUCCUGACAGAGAUUAAGCACCAUAACAAAUGAUUGCAUUGUAAUCUGGUUUGAAGCAAAUCUGACACUGAAUUAUUGUUAUAGUUAUAGUUGCCAUCGUAUCUGUUCUAGUUAAGACAUUAAUGGCUCUCUUGAUGUUUAUUAUUUAUAUUUUCUUUGAAAACAUUUGUAUUUUGUAAUAACUUAUUGCAUAAUAACUGUAUUGAUUUUCUAUUAUAAACUUGUUUGUGUAAACGC
rnacentral:lncRNA from 1 species